rnacentral:lncRNA from 1 species
UGUGUAGUUUCGCAUUUUGGCCCCUGUGGAUUUUUCAAAUAUGAGAGCUAGUGUGCAAUAAAAUUCAUUUUUGGAUAGCUGAGUAUUAAAAUAGCCUUUGUAUUGGGUUUAUAUGAACAUCAAGAUUAUGUAAUGUAUGUUAUAUAGGCUGUUUUCUGUAUGACAGUCCGUAUUUGCAUGUCCCUACCAUACAUUGGUCCGGCAAUUAUUGUAAUGUUUUUUUCCAACUUUUUAUCGCACGAACUUUGUGAUUGGAUUUUACGAAAAAAUGAGGCGAAAG